rnacentral:rRNA from 1 species
GCCAGCAGCCAUAUAACUCUCAACUGGCUACCCACUGAAGCUAAGCAGCGUUGAGUCUGGUCAGUACCUGGAUGGGAGAAAUUCUGGGAAGCUUUGAUUGCUGCUGGAA